rnacentral:rRNA from 1 species
CAUUUUACGUAGGUGCUGCAUGGUUGUCGUCAGCUCGUGCCGUGAGGUGUCGGGUUAAGUCCCAUAACGAGCGCAACCCUACCUUAGUUGCCAUCAGGUUAAGCUGGGGACUCUAAAGGAACUGCCUACGCAAGUAGUGAGGAAGCGGGGAUGACGUCAAAUCAGCACGGCCCUUACGUCCAGGGCUACACACGUGCUACAAUGGCCGAUACAGAGGGCAGCUACCUGGUGACAGGAUGCAAAUCUCCAAAGUCGGUCUCAGUUCGGAUCGGAGUCUGCAACCCGACUCCGUGAAGUUGGAUUCGCUAGUAAUCGCGCAUCAGCCAUGGCGCGGUGAAUACGUUCCCGGGCCUU